rnacentral:rRNA from 1 species
UACAGAGGUCUCAAGCGUUGUUCGGAAUUACUGGGCGUAAAGGGCUCGUAGGCGGCCAACUAAGUCAGACGUGAAAUCCCUCAGCUUAACUGGGGAACUGCGUCUGAUACUGGAUGGCUUGGAUUCGGGAGAGGAAUGCGGAAUUCCAGGUGUAGCGGUGAAAUGCGUAGAUAUGCGGAGGAACACCGAUGGCGAAGGCAAUCCCCUGGGCCUGCACUGACGCUCAUGCACGAAAGCGUGGGGAGCAAACAGG